rnacentral:rRNA from 1 species
CCCUUAGAUGUUCUGGGCCGCACGCGUGCUACACUGAGUGGAUCAGCGGGUCAGGUUGCGCGAAAGUGUUUCCUAAUCUUUAAAUCCGCUCGUGAUGGGGAUUGACGGUUGCAAUUUUCCGUCAUGAACGAGGAAUACCUUGUAAGCGCGGGUCAUCAUCCCGCGCUGAAUACGUCCCUGCCCUUUGUGCACACCGCCCGUCGCUCCUACCGAUUGAGUGGUCCGGUGAGGCUUUGGGAUCUGAGCGGAAAGAGCGUUUCGCUGUUUCUGCUCGGAAAACUCAGUCGAACCUUAUCAUUUAGAGGAAGGAGAAGUCGUAACA